rnacentral:rRNA from 1 species
GACGAACGCUGGCGGCGUGCCUAAUACAUGCCAGUAGAACGCUGAAGGAGGAGCUUGCUUCUCUGGAUGAGUUGCGAACGGGUGAGUAACGCGUAGGUAACCUGCCUGGUAGCGGGGGAUAACUAUUGGAAACGAUAGCUAAUACCGCAUAAGAGUAGAUGUCGCAUGACAUUUGCUUAAAAGGUGCAGUUGCAUCACUACCAGAUGGACCUGCGUUGUAUUAGCUAGUUGGUGAGGUAACGGCUCACCAAGGCAACGAUACAUAGCCGACCUGAGAGGGUGAUCGGCCACACUGGGACUGAGACACGGCCCAGACUCCUACGGGAGGCAGCAGUAGGGAAUCUUCGGCAAUGGACGGAAGUCUGACCGAGCAACGCCGCGUGAGUGAAGAAGGUUUUCGGAUCGUAAAGCUCUGUUGUAAGAGAAGAACGAGUGUGAGAGUGGAAAGUUCACACUGUGACGGUAUCUUACCAGAAAGGGACGGCUAACUACGUG